UACGAGGGGGGCGAGCGUUGUUCGGAUUUACUGGGCGUAAAGGGCGCGCAGGCGGCUCAUUUUGUCAGGCGUGAAAGCCCCGGGCUUAACCUGGGAACUGCGUUUGAUACGGAUGGGCUAGAGUUCGGGAGAGGAGAGUGGAAUUCCCAGUGUAGAGGUGAAAUUCGUAGAUAUUGGGAAGAACACCGGUGGCGAAGGCGGCUCUCUGGACCGAUACUGACGCUGAGGCGCGAAAGCGUGGGGAGCAAACAGG
rnacentral:rRNA from 1 species